rnacentral:rRNA from 1 species
AGAGUGGCGAACGGGUGAGUAACACGUGAAUAAUCUGCCUCCGGUGUUGGGGAUAACAGUUCGAAAGGACUGCUAAUACCGAAUAAGAUGGUAGGUACAAAAGUACUAGUCAUUAAAGGUGGGGACCGCAAGGCCUACCGCCUGGAGAUGAGUUCGCGGCUGAUUAGCUAGUUGGCGGGGUAACGGCCCACCAAGGCGACGAUCAGUAGCCGGCCUGAGAGGGUGAACUUUCACAUUGGGACUGAGAUACGGCCCAGACUCCUACUGGAGGCAGCAGUUAAGAAUCUUGCGCAAUGGGAGCAAUCCUGACGCAGCGACGCCGCGUGAAUGAUGAAGGCCUUCGGGUUGUAAAGUUCGACAAGCAGGGAAGAAUAAGUGUGGGGUAAUAUUCCACAUGAUGACGGUACCUGCCUAAAGCCCCGGCUAACUACGUGCCAGCAGCCGCGGUAAUACGUAUGGGGCGAGCG